ACGAACGCUGGCGGCGUGCCUAAUACAUGCAAGUCGAGCGGACUGAUUAAGAGCUUGCUCUUAUGACGUUAGCGGCGGACGGGUGAGUAACACGUGGGCAACCUGCCCUGUAGAUCGGGAUAACACCGAGAAAUCGGUGCUAAUACCGGGUAAUAUCUGAGAUCACAUGAUCUUAGGUUAAAAGAUGGCUCCGGCUAUCACUACAGGAUGGGCCCGCGGCGCAUUAGCUAGUUGGUAAGGUAAUGGCUUACCAAGGCGACGAUGCGUAGCCGACCUGAGAGGGUGAUCGGCCACACUGGGAGUGAGACACGGCCCAGACUCCUACGGGAGGCAGCAGUAGGGAAUCUUCCGCAAUGGACGAAAGUCUGACGGAGCAACGCCGCGUGAGUGAUGAAGGGUUUCGGCUCGUAAAGCUCUGUUGUUAGGGAAGAAACAGUACCGAACGAACUAGGUCGGUACCUUGACGGUACCUAACCAGAAAGCCACGGCUAACUACGUG
rnacentral:rRNA from 1 species